GUGAUCAAGCGACCAAGGGCACAUGGCGGAUGCCUUGGCGUCGAGAGGCGAUGAAGGACGUGGCUACCUGCGAGAAGCCCGAGGGAGCUGGAAGCAAGCUGUGAUCUCGGGAUGUCCGAAUGGGGAAACCCGGCCCGCAGAGGGUCAUCGCGCGCUGAAUGCAUAGGCGCGCGAAGCGAACCCGGAGAACUGAAACAUCUCAGUACCCGGAGGAAAGGAAAGCAACAGCGACUCCGUCAGUAGCGGCGAGCGAAAGCGGAUCAGCCGGCGCGCAUCGUGAACUGUCUGGAAAGCCAGACCGAAGAAGGUGAGAGUCCUGUAGCGGUGUUGCCGGUGAGGCCUCGAGUAGUGUCGAGCCCGUGAAACUCGGCAUGAACAUGGGGGGACCACCCUCCAAGCCUAAGUACUCCUCGACGACCGAUAGUGAAUCAGUAAGGCGACUGAAUGGUGACAAGCACCCUUGUGAAGGGAGUGAAAGAGCACCUGAAACCAUGUGCCUACAAGCGGUCGGAGCCCGUCUUUGACGGGUGACGGCGUGCCUUUUGCAUAAUGAGCCGGCGAGUUGCUCUGUACGGCGAGGCUAAGGCUCAACGAGCCGGAGCCGGAGCGAAAGCGAGUCUGAAAUGGGCGUCCAGUCGUACGGGGCAGACGCGAAACCUGGUGAUCUACCCAUGGGCAGGCUGAAGGACGGGUAACACCGUCUGGAGGGCCGAACGCACCAACGUUGAAAAGUUGGGCGAUGACCUGUGGGGAGGAGUAAAAGUCUAAUCAAACCAGGAGAUAGCUCGUUCUCUCCGAAAUGUCUUGAGGGACAGCCUCGCGUGGCAACCGAUGGGGGUAGAGCGACUGGAUGCCUUUGGGGCCCUACCCGGGUACCCGGGGCAACCAAACUCCGAAUACCAUCGGCCGAGGCGCGGGAGUGAGUCCGCGGGUGACAAUAUCCGCGGUCGAGAGGAGAACAACCCAGACCGCCAGCUAAGGCCCCCAAUCCCUGCUCAGUUCUUAAGGAAGUCGAACUGCCGUGACAGCCAGGAUGUUGGCUUAGAAGCAGCCAUCAUUUAAAGAGUGCGUAAUAGCUCACUGGUCGAGGAGUUCGGCGCCGAUAAUGAUCGGGAAUAAGCAGGGAGCCGAAGCUGCGGGCUCCGACUUGUCGGAGCGGUAGGAGAGCGUUCCUGUCGGCGUCGAAGCGGUCCCGGGAGGGUCCGUGGAGCGUCAGGAAGUGAAUAUGCCGGCUUGAGUAACGAUAAAGCAGGUGAAAAUCCUGCUCGCCGAAAGCCCAAGGGUUCCUGGGGAAGGGAAAUCCGCCCAGGGUUAGCCGGAUCCUAAGGCGAGGCCGAAAGGCGUAGUCGAUGGACAGCAGGUUAAUAUUCCUGCGCCUCCGCGGAGAUCGAACCAGCGUGCGGAUCCCCAAGGUCGGCGGGGCGGCCGGUAGCGCCCAGGCCUUCGAGGCCGGUGCCGGCGGAGGGGGUCCCGGGAAAAGCGCUGGGGGCGAAGCGGAGUCCGUACCAAAACUGACACAGGUGGGCGUGGCGAAUAGCCUCAGGCGCUCGAGAGAAUGGUCGUGAAGGAACUAGGCAAAUUGACCCCGUACGUUCGCAAGAAGGGGGCCCUACCCCGCGAGGGGAGGGCGCAGAGAAGAGGCUCUGGCGACUGUUUAUCAAAAACACAGCACUGUGCGAACUCGCAAGAGGAUGUAUACAGUGUGACGCUUGCCCGGUGCCGGAACGUCACGGAAGCGGGUUAGCUUCGGCGAAGCUCGCGACCUAAGCGCCGGUAAACGGCGGCCGUAACUAUGACGGUCCUAAGGUAGCGAAAUUCCUUGUCGGGUAAGUUCCGACGCGCAUGAAUAGCGUAACGACUGGAGCACUGUCUCCACGACCAACUCGGUGAAAUAGUAGUGGCGGUGAAGAUGCCGCCUCCCCGCGGCAAGACGGAAAGACCCCGUGGACCUUUACUGCAGGCUUUCAUUGGUCACGAGCAUGCGCUGCGUAGGAUAGGUGGGAGGCUUCGAAGCGGGCGUUCCGGCGCCCGUGGAGCCGUUGGUGAAAUACCACCCUGUGCACGUUUGUGGCCUCACCCCGAUUCCCGUGAAGCCGGGCGGGGGACCGUGAGUGCCGGGUAGUUUGACUGGGGCGGUCUCCUCCUAAAGAGUAACGGAGGAGUGCAAAGGUCGGCUCAGCGCGGAUGGAAACCGCGUGGUGCGUACAAAGGCACAAGCCGGCUUGACUGCGAGACCGGCGGGUCGAGCAGGUGCGAAAGCAGGCCUUAGUGAUCCUGCGGUCCCGUGUGGAAGGGCCGUAGCUCAUCGGAUAAAAGGUACCCCGGGGAUAACAGGCUGAUCGCUCCCGAGCGUCCAUAGCGGCGGAGCGGUUUGGCACCUCGAUGUCGGCUCAUC
rnacentral:rRNA from 1 species